rnacentral:rRNA from 1 species
GAUGAACGCUGGCGGCGUGCCUAAUACAUGCAAGUCGAGCGAACGGACGAGAAUCUUGCUUUUCUGAUGUUAGCGGCGGACGGGUGAGUAACACGUGGAUAACCUACCUAUAAGACUGGGAUAACUUCGGGAAACCGGAGCUAAUACCGGAUAAUAUUUUGAACCGCAUGGUUCAAAAGUGAAAGACGGUCUUGCUGUCACUUAUAGAUGGAUCCGCGCUGCAUUAGCUAGUUGGUAAGGUAACGGCUUACCAAGGCAACGAUGCAUAGCCGACCUGAGAGGGUGAUCGGCCACACUGGAACUGAGACACGGUCCAGACUCCUACGGGAGGCAGCAGUAGGGAAUCUUCCGCAAUGGGCGAAAGCCUGACGGAGCAGCGCCGCGUGAGUGGUGAAGGUCUUCGGAUCGUAAAACUCUGUUAUUAGGGAAGAACAUAUGUGUAAGUAACUGUGCACAUCUUGACGGUACCUAAUCAGAAAGCCACGGCUAACUACGUG